GGAAAAAUAGCCGAGUUGGUCAAGGCGUUAGUCUGAAACACUAAAGAUGUAAGUUCGAUUCUUACUUUUUCCA
rnacentral:tRNA from 1 species